rnacentral:rRNA from 1 species
GACGAACGCUGGCGGCGUGCUUAACACAUGCAAGUCGAACGGUGAACCUCUUCGGAGGGGAUCAGUGGCGAACGGGUGAGUAACACGUGGGCAACCUGCCCCCGGCUCUGGGAUAACUCCAAGAAAUUGGGGCUAAUACCGGAUGUUCACCGCUUCCCGCAUGGGUGGUGGUGGAAAGGGUUUCCGGCUGGGGAUGGGCCCGCGGCCCAUCAGCUUGUUGGUGGGGUAGUGGCCUACCAAGGCGACGACGGGUAGCCGGCCUGAGAGGGUGACCGGCCACACUGGGACUGAGACACGGCCCAGACUCCUACGGGAGGCAGCAGUGGGGAAUAUUGCGCAAUGGGCGGAAGCCUGACGCAGCGACGCCGCGUGGGGGAUGACGGCCUUCGGGUUGUAAACCUCUUUCAGCAGGGACGAAGCGCAAGUGACGGUACCUGCAGAAGAAGCACCGGCCAACUACGUG